GCGAGCCCUUUGACCCUACGUUUGUACUGAGUCGCUCAGGGUCCAACAUUAUCUGUUUCGUACUCUUCGGCAGCCACUUCGACUACGAUGAUGAGCGUCUGCUCACCAUUAUCCGCCUUAUCAAUGAUAACUUUCAAAUCAUGAGCAGCCCCUGGGGCGAGUUGUACAACAUCUUCCCAAGCCUCCUGGACUAGGUGCCUGGGCCGCACCAACGCAUCUUCCAGAACUUCAAGUGCCUGAGAGACCUCAUCGCCCACAGCGUCCAAGACCACCAGGCCUCGCUAGACCCCAGAUCUCCCCGGGACUUCAUCGACUGCUUCCUCACCAAGAUGGCAGAGGAGAAGGAGGACCUGCUGAGCCACUUCCACAUGGAUACCCUGCUGAUGACCACACAUAACCUGCUCUUUGGCGGCACCGAGACGCCCGUGUGCAGGAGGAGAUCAACCUCAUUGUGGGACACAUGCAGCUGCCAGCGCUGAAGGACCGCGCAGCCAUGCCUUACACAGACAUGGUGAUCCACGAGGUGCAGCGCUUUGCAGACAUCAUCCCCAUGAACUUGCCACACCAUGUCACUAGGGACACGGCCUUUCGCGGCUUCCUGAUACCCAAGGUGCACUAGGCCUGGCAAACGACAUCAGGCAACCUAAGAGGAGGCAUCGCAGGCUCUUGCAACUCACAAGGAGUAUCCCAGGCACUAGCCAUCCACAUCCCAGGCCUUAGCAACUGGCAUCCCAAGCCCUAGCUGCAGACAUCUCAGACCCUUAAAUCCAGAAGCUCAGGCCUUUCCCAGGACCCCAUCUCAUAUCAUAGUGGACUAGACCCCUUCACCGUGACAAAUCCCCUUCCUAGAACCCCUCCCUGGAAGCCCUGGGGUCUGGAACUUCAUCUGGAGGAUCCCCUGGGCCUAAAUGCUAUUCUCAAGGACCCCUCCUUUUUCCCAGAAACCCCACAUCUGCUCCCACAAAGGGUGGGGGUUUCCCACAUCCCUGCCAAAGUCCCCAAUAAUACAGCAUAUAGCACCCAUCACUUGGAACCCUAGACACCCACACAUAUUUCCUUGGCCCCCAAUUGAGUCCUAUACCCACCUAUACCCACCCCUUAUUAAGUCCCCAGGACACCCAGCCCAAUAAAAUGGAAACGAGUUUGGGAGCCUCCCAGCCCUCCUACACUGCUAACUCCACCUCCUCACCCACACAGGGCACCGAUAUCAUCACCCUCCUUAACACUGUCCACUACGACCCCAGCCAGUUCCUGACGCCCCAGGAGUUCAAACCCGAGCAUUUUUUGGAUGCCAAUCAGUCCUUCAAGAAGAGCCCAGCCUUCAUCCCCUUCUCAGCUGGUGAGGGCAAGAAUCAGAGUCUUUCUGGCCCGAUUUCUACCUACAUUCCUCAUCCUAAUUCCACUUGCCAAAUCCUCUCCCUCCUUCCUUCCACCCAUUCUCAGCUUUGGAUGUACAGAGACAUUCAUUCCUCCUCUCAACUCUGCUCCUAUAGGCAAGUAGUGACUAAAAUCCUCGUGAAGU
rnacentral:sRNA from 1 species